CCAAUAGCGUAUAUUAAAGUUGUUGCAGUUAAAAAGCUCGUAGUUGAACUUCGGGGUUUACCCAUUGGUCGGGCUUAAUUGUCUGUACUGGUGAGAUAAAUCUCUACCUUCUGAGGAACUUUCAUGUCAUUAAUUUGGUGUGAUUGGAAAUCAGGACUGUUACUUUGAAAAAAUUAGAGUGUUUAAAGCAGGCUAACGUCUGAAUACAUUAGCAUGGAAUAAUGAAAUAGGACGGAUUGAUUCUAUUUCGUUGGUUUCUAGGAUCACCGUAAUGAUUAAUAGGGAUAGUUGGGGGCAUUAGUAUUCAAUUGUCAGAGGUGAAAUUCUUGGACUUAUUUAAGACUAACUACUGCGAAAGCAUUUGCCAAGGAUGUUUUCAUUAAUCAAGAACGAAAGUUAGGGGAUCGAAGACGAUCAGAUACCGUCGUAGUCUUAACCAUAAACUAUGCCGACUAGGGAUCGGACGAAGUUAAUUUUAUAAUGACGCGUUCGGCACCUUACG
rnacentral:rRNA from 1 species